rnacentral:sRNA from 1 species
CUUUAGCCCCGAUUGAAGAGAAAAUCCUUUUUUGAAAAAAAAGAUUGUAACGGAAAGCGGGAAUCAGC